AGGAUGAACGCUGGCGGUCUGCUUAACACAUGCAAGUCGAACGGAGUAGCAAUACUUAGUGGCGGACGGGUGAGUAACGCGUGAGAAUCUACCUUCAGGACGGAGACAACAGUUGGAAACGACUGCUAACCCCCGAUGUACCGAAAGGGCAAAUAUUUAUAGCCUGAAGAAGAGCUCGCGUCCGAUUAGCUAGUUGGAGAGGUAAAAGCUCACCAAGGCGACGAUCGGUAGCUGGUCUGAGAGGACGAUCAGCCACACUGGGACUGAGACACGGCCCAGACUCCUACGGGAGGCAGCAGUGGGAAUUUUCCGCAAUGGGCGAAAGCCUGACGGAGCAAGACCGCGUGAGGGAGGAAGGCUCUUGGGUUGUAAACCUCUUUUCGUUGGGAAGAACAAAAUGACGGUACCCAAGGAAUCAGCAUCGGCUAACUCCGUGCCAGCAGCCGC
rnacentral:rRNA from 1 species